rnacentral:rRNA from 1 species
GAUGAACGCUAGCGGCAGGCCUAACACAUGCAAGUCGAGGGGGAAGUUACUUUCGGGUGACUGAGACCGGCGUACGGGUGCGUAACGCGUAUACAAUCUGCCUUUCACUGGGGGAUAGCCCGAAGAAAUUUGGAUUAAUACCCCAUAGUAUAUAGGGACGGCAUCGUUUUUAUAUUAAAGCUUAGGUGGUGAAAGAUGAGUAUGCGUUCUAUUAGCUAGUUGGAGAGGUAACGGCUCCCCAAGGCGAUGAUAGAUAGGGGUUCUGAGAGGGAUGUCCCCCACACUGGGACUGAGAUACGGACCAGACUCCUACGGGAGGCAGCAGUGAGGAAUAUUGGACAAUGGUCGGAAGACUGAUCCAGCCAUGCCGCGUGCAGGAUGAAGGUCUUAUGGAUUGUAAACUGCUUUUGUAAGGGAAGAAUAAGGGCUACGCGUAGUUUGAUGACGGUACCUGACGAAUAAGCAGCGGCUAACUCCGUG